AAUAACGUUGCGAAAGACAUUCAGAAACUAUCAGUCCUUGAAAUUAUUUCUCUCAAUUUGGAUCUGGAUAUGAGAUGGUAACCGAAUGGCUUAUCCGUUUUUCUGAGAGCGAAACCGCCAGGUUGCUCCAACUGCCGUUGCUGAAGGCACGUUCGAAUUUGUCCUCUCCUGAAAAAUUUUAGUCUCCAAUAUCCGAGUUACCCGCAUCGGCCACUUUUUCGCAAUGUUUUUUGUAUCGACGAUUGUCCUCAAACUCGUGAAGUACGACGGAGGUUUUUGCAAAUGGUUUGAAAAAGGCUACAAGAGCGUGGACGCAAACCGAUGAAUUCGACUCCGCAUGAUGGUUUUACGUGGCGAAUAUACAUGUGCAGUAUACGCUUUUAUUUGAAUUUGCCGCUGAUUGUCGUGGGUGGAGGACCUUGGAACUCCUCUCCUCUCUGUCAAGCGACGCUAGCGCCACCACGCUAUUUCGACAGUUGUGAGUGAUGCGUUCACGCGAUGACGUCAGAACGGAGAGGAAAAAGAUCCUGUUCGCUGUUCGCAGUCGCCUCUCGCUCUCCGACCCAUCUCCCGCCCCGCUCUCGUCCCUCUUACGCACUUUAUUGUGUAUCCUCGUAAAUAAAAGAGCGCUCCAACAGCAUGGAACACGCACGUGUCGAACGUUCGGUGGCGCAACGAAAAUAACGCAGGAAACCACAAAAAAAUAUGUCUACAGUCUACCGACGCGAGAAUCGUCGAGCCUGUACCAAAUCAAAGCAACAAGUGCACGUAUUGAAGAAAUUUAUUUAAAAUCUCUUCUUCUUUAUAUCUCGAGACAAAUGAUUCCCAUGAGCAUCGAGAUUGCUCCUACCAACGAAAGAAACUUGGUUCGCGGAGGACACACGAAACCAAGCUUCUUGCCCAAAUCCGUACACUUUUUUAGCUACGCGUCGUAUCGAUUUGCACCCGGAUCACGUUGUUCCUGUCAUCGAAUCUCGAAUAAGAGGUAAAAAGAGCUGCUGUCAAGACCGAUGCAGCUUAUUCCGAAGCUAGACCGAGGCUCUCUCCGUGUUUCGAAGAAUGAGCAAUUUUUUUAAUUUCCCAAGUCAUUUUUUUAUCCGUUCCAUCGAUUUCAGUAAAUUUUGACAUACGAAGGAAAAACCGAAAUUUUCCCAUCAAGAUUGCUGGCCCAUCCAAAUACCAAGAAAUCGCAGCGAGAAAAAAUGGAAAAAAUGAAAAAUAAAAAAAAACACUUUCAAAUAUCUUCCGAGGACGACACAGUUUCUCCAUUUCGCUGUCAAGAUAAUGCUUCAGAAAGUGCAAGAGAAAAACCGACACAGGUGC